rnacentral:rRNA from 1 species
UACGGAGGAGGCAAGCGUUAUCCGGAAUUAUUGGGCGUAAAGCGUCCGCAGGUGGCACUUCAAGUCUGUCGUCAAAGACCGGGGCUUAACUUCGGAAAGGCAGUGGAAACUGAACAGCUAGAGUAUGGUAGGGGCAGAGGGAAUUCCUGGUGUAGCGGUGAAAUGCGUAGAGAUCGGGAGGAACACCAGUGGCGAAGGCGGCUCGCUGGGCCGGACCUGACGCUGAGACGCGAAGGCGUGGGGAGCGAACGGG